rnacentral:rRNA from 1 species
UUGAAAGGGAAACGAUUGAAGUCAGUCGUACCGACGAGAAAUCAGCUCUUCGAGUGUGAACUUGUGGACGUGCUUGAGUCUUUAACGGGCCUUGCUGUUUGCAAUGUUUGUGCUUUUUGGGUGUUCUUUUUCGUAUGGUUGGCCAACGUCAGUUUCGAUCAUCAUAAAAUGAUCAGAGGAAUGUAGCUUCGAUCUCGUAUUGAAGUGUUAUAGCCUUUGGUAGAUGUGGUAAUUGAAACUGAGGAUUGCAACGAAUACCCUUUGGGCUAUCCGUCUGGCCUCUGAAAGUUGCCUAGGUUGCCGAAAGCUUGCUUACGGUUGUCUAAGGUGGCGGUCAAAAGGUUAGAACGUGAUUACAUUCGUUAAGGAUGUUGACGUA